rnacentral:rRNA from 1 species
AUUGAACGCUGGCGGCAUGCCUUACACAUGCAAGUCGAACGGCAGCGGACCUUCGGGUGCCGGCGAGUGGCGAACGGGUGAGUAAUAUAUCGGAACGUACCUUUCAGUGGGGGAUAACGUAGCGAAAGUUACGCUAAUACCGCAUAUUCUGUGAGCAGGAAAGCAGGGGAUCGCAAGACCUUGCGCUGAUUGAGCGGCCGAUAUCAGAUUAGCUAGUUGGUGAGGUAAAGGCUCACCAAGGCGACGAUCUGUAGCGGGUCUGAGAGGAUGAUCCGCCACACUGGAACUGAGACACGGUCCAGACUCCUACGGGAGGCAGCAGUGGGGAAUUUUGGACAAUGGGCGCAAGCCUGAUCCAGCCAUGCCGCGUGAGUGAAGAAGGCCUCGGUUGGUAAGUAC